GCUGCCGUGGCACAAUCUGGUACUGCGCCGGUCUUGAAAACCGGUUUCGUAAGAUAUCCCGGUUCAAAUCCGGGCGGCAGCG
rnacentral:tRNA from 1 species